rnacentral:rRNA from 1 species
GACGAACGCUGGCGGCGUGCUUAACACAUGCAAGUCGAGCGGUAAGGCCCUUUCGGGGGUACACGAGCGGCGAACGGGUGAGUAACACGUGGGUGACCUGCCCUCAGCUCUGGGAUAAGCCUGGGAAACCGGGUCUAAUACUGGAUAUGACUCCAUGACGCAUGUUGUGGGGUGGAAAGCCUUGUGCGGCUGAGGAUGGGCCCGCGGCCUAUCAGCUUGUUGGUGGGGUGAUGGCCUACCAAGGCGACGACGGGUAGCCGGCCUGAGAGGGCGACCGGCCACACUGGGACUGAGACACGGCCCAGACUCCUACGGGAGGCAGCAGUGGGGAAUCUUGCGCAAUGGGCGAAAGCCUGACGCAGCGACGCCGCGUGAGGGAUGACGGCCUGGUGUAAGU